GACGAACGCUGGCGGCGUGCCUAAUACAUGCAAGUCGAACGCAUUUUCUUUCACCGUAGCUUGCUACACCGAAAGAAAAUGAGUCGCGAACGGGUGAGUAACACUUGCGUAACCUGCCCAUCAGCUGGGGAUAACACUUGGAAACAGGUGCUAAUACCGCAUAAUUCCAUUUACCGCAUGGUAGAUGGAUGAAAGGCGCUUUUGCGUCACUGAUGGAUGGACCUUCGGUGCAUUAGCUAGUUGGUGGGGUAACGGGCUACCAAGGCUGAGAUGCAUAGCCGACCUGAGAGGGUGAUCGGCCAAACUGGGAAUGGGACACGGCCCAGAAUCCUAAGGGAGGGAGCAGUAGGGAAUCUUCGGCCAUGGGGCGAAGUCUGACCGAGCAAAGCCGCGUGAGGGGAGGAGGUUUUCGGGUCGUAAAACUCUGUUGUUAGAGAAGAAAAAGAAUGGGAGUGGAAAGUUCAUACCUUGACGGUAUCUAACCAGAAAGCCACGGCUAACUACGUG
rnacentral:rRNA from 1 species